GACCGGAGUGGACGAACCUCUGGUGUUCGGGUUGUCAUGCCAAUGGCAUUGCCCGGUAGCUAAGUUCGGAAUCGAUAACCGCUGAAAGCAUCUAAGCGGGAAGCGAGCCUUGAGAUGAGUUUUCCCUGGCACUAUAAGUGUCCUAAAGGGUUGUCGUAGACUACGACGUUGAUAGGCAGGGUGUGUAAGUGCUGCGAGGCAUUGAGCUAACCUGUACUAAUUGCCCGUGAGGCUUAACCAUACAACACCCAAGGGGUUU
rnacentral:rRNA from 1 species